UGUUUAUAAUGUCAAUAAAAACAAACGCCGUAGUAACUUUGAUAGUUAUCGAGUCAGUUGUCUUUUACAUUCUGUCGAAUAAACAUUGAAAUUUUGUUUGGAGUAGAAUAUUUAUCGUACGAGGAUUAAAAUAUACUCAAUCAAUAAAGGAAUCGCAAAGUGGUGUAUCAUUAAACAAAGAAAAAGUAAUCGCGAACUAAAAGCAUUGUUUGUUCGUUCGCGUUUCGUUGAAUUUAAAAAGCAAGUGUAUUUGAAUCGAUUGCCUGUAAGAUGUAAUCAUUAAAAUCAGUGUUCGCAAUGUUUUUUUUUUCUUUUUUAAUCGUACAGAUUGUAUUAAAUAAAAGAUAAAUUAGUAAAGUCUCGCGAAUUAAAUUCAGUGACCGUCCGUUAAUAAAUAACUACCGCGUAUUAGAAUCAAUGAAUCAGAGAAGAGGAUCUCAACCAACUUCGAUGUCGACCUAUCUCAUUUUCAACUAUCUACGAAUCCAACUACCUUCAAUUUCGACCUAAAUCGCAGACGAGUGUUUUGGAGCCAUCGCGGAACUUCUUAAGUAGCUGAAUCAUCGAGGGAUGGAUUUGUCUGCAAUUGAGUGAUUAAGCAACAAGGAUUUGAUAUAUCGACGCGGAUAUCCGAUAUUUCGUUUAGGGGCUCGCAAUUUGUAAUCGUGAGAUUACAUAUUUAGACAGAAGCUUACGAAACCUUUCCGCAUUAUAUAAAGAGAGGAAAUGUCUCCUUUUUUUUGUACGAAUAGAAUAAAAAGAACAUCCGUGUCCGCGUUAGUGGACACCAGAUGUGGAUAUUCAUGGAUCCGAUUAAAUGGACUACCGUGGACUUCAUUUUAUUGUUCGAAAUUCGGUCCUGUUAUUCAUAAGCGAGGACUGAUCCUCUUACAGAUAGCGUUGGUAGCUUAAAUUCUCUCUAAAUGGCACUGUCAUUUCGAUACCGCGAAUUUUAGAGUACAAUCAUUGUCAACCUCAUCGUAGGUCUUCAAAUGCAGCAACCUCCACGUGGUGAGAUUUGGAUCUUUACUAUUUACAAUAUAUCGAAAUGUAAUUCGAAAGCAAAUACUAUCAGGCGAAUGGUUAUACAUUUUCGAUCUAAUUCUAACUAAACAUCAUUAAAGUAUUAAUACUGUACGUUACUAAUAAUAUUUCAACAGAUAAAUAUAUUAGAUAUGGCAGAAUUCUAAAAUAAUUUCUUAGAGAAACUCAUUGAAAAAUUCGAAUUAUACCUUACUUGUUCUCACUUAUACUUAUCAGAUUAAAUACUAUAUUUUCUAUUCUAUUUACGUACGUCAUUAUAUAUGCAUUAAAUAUUUUCUAUCUAUCGUUGUUAUUAUUAUCUCUUUUAUAUGA